rnacentral:rRNA from 1 species
UNAUGGGCGCAGGCCUGACCAGCCAGUAGCGUGAAGGAUGACUGCCCUAUGGCGCCNUUAAACUUCUUNNAUAAAGGAAUAAAGUCGGGUAUGGAUACCCCUUUGCAUGUACUUUAUGAAUAAGGAUCGGCUAACUCCGUGCCAGCAGCCGCGGUAAUACGGAGGAUCCGAGCGUUAUCCGGAUUUAUUGGGUUUAAAGGGAGCGUAGAUGGAUGUUUAAGUCAGCGGUGAAAGUCUGUGGCUCAACCAUAGAAUUGCCGUUGAAACUGGGGGGCUUGAGUAUGUUUGAGGCAGGCGGAAUGCGUGGUGUAGCGGUGAAAUGCAUAGAUAUCACGCAGAACCCCGAUUGCGAAGGCAGCCUGCCAAGCCAUUACUGACGCUGAUGCACGAAAGCGUGGGGAUCAAACAGGAUUAGAUACCCUGGUAGUCCAAGGGCGAAUUC